GUUUUGUUUCCGUAUAUUUUAUUUUCCAUUACUCAUGUUUUAUUUCCGUAUAUAUUUUAUGUUCCAUUGCUCAAGUGUUGUUUCCGUAUAUUUUAGCCGCUCGUCUUGAGCCUACCAAAUUAACACACUAUAUAGUAAUAAAAUUAUACUUUUAUUGUCAUUCAUUACUCUUAACAGACCAAUUAACAGACCGGGUUUUAUACAUCCGACCCAUUAACAGACCAG
rnacentral:lncRNA from 1 species